UACGUAGGGGGCAAGCGUUGUCCGGAAUCACUGGGCUUAAAGCGCGUGUAGGUGGGUCGUUAAGUGUCCGCGUGAAAUCCCACGGCUCAACCGUGGAACUGCCGGGCAUACUGGCGAUCUUGAGGCAUUCAGGGGCGAGCGGAACAAGUGGUGGAGCGGUGAAAUGCGUAGAUAUCACUUGGAACGCCAAUGGUGAAAACAGCUCGCUGGGAAUGAUCUGACACUGAGACGCGAAAGCCAGGGGAGCGAACGGG
rnacentral:rRNA from 1 species